CUACUCAACCAGACGGAACUUACAUUCCCUCAGCUCUACAUUCAACACAGUAUCACCCUCGCGCAGACAGACUUAGUCAAGAUUGCUCUAUCCAAUAUGUCUGCAACCCUCAGUCAAUAUGUUACUGUGUUGAAGAAUCAGACG